rnacentral:rRNA from 1 species
AUUGAACGCUGGCGGCAGGCCUAACACAUGCAAGUCGAGCGAGCGGCGGACGGGUGAGUAAUGUCUGGGAAACUGCCUGAUGGAGGGGGAUAACUACUGGAAACGGUAGCUAAUACCGCAUACCAUCAGAUUUGCCCAGAUGGGAUUAGCUAGUAGGGGUGUUAAUGGCUCACCAAGGCGACGAACCCUAGCUGGUCUGAGAGGAUGACCAGCCACACUGUAACUGAGACACGGUCCAGACUCCUACGUGAGGCAGCAGUGGGGAAUAUUGCACAAUGGGCGCAAGCCUGAUGCAGCCAUGCCGCGUUUGUGAAGAAGGCCUUCGGGUUGUAAAGCACUUUCAGCGGGGAGGCGUUACCCGCAGAAGAAGCACCGGCUAACUCCGUGCCAGCAGCCGCGGUAAUAC